rnacentral:rRNA from 1 species
CCGGUAAGGUGAUAUGAACCGUUAUAACCGGCGAUUUCCGAAUGGGGAAACCCAGUGUGAUUCGUCACACUAUCAUUAACUGAAUCCAUAGGUUAAUGAGGCGAACCGGGGGAACUGAAACAUCUAAGUACCCCGAGGAAAAGAAAUCAACCGAGAUUCCCCCAGUAGCGGCGAGCGAACGGGGAGGAGCCCAGAGCCUGAAUCAGCAUGUGUGUUAGUGGAAGCGUCUGGAAAGGCGCGCGAUACAGGGUGACAGCCCCGUACACAAAAGCGCAUGUGCUGUGAGCUCGAUGAGUAGGGCGGGACACGUGGUAUCCUGUCUGAAUAUGGGGGGACCAUCCUCCAAGGCUAAAUACUCCUGACUGACCGAUAGUGAACCAGUACCGUGAGGGAAAGGCGAAAAGAACCCCGGCGAGGGGAGUGAAAAAGAACCUGAAACCGUGUACGUACAAGCAGUGGGAGCACAGGUUUACCUGUGUGACUGCGUACCUUUUGUAUAAUGGGUCAGCGACUUAUAUUCUGUAGCAAGGUUAACCGAAUAGGGGAGCCGGAGGGAAACCGAGUCUUAAUUGGGCGUUAAGUUGCAGGGUAUAGACCCGAAACCCGGUGAUCUAGCCAUGGGCAGGUUGAAGGUUGGGUAACACUAACUGGAGGACCGAACCGACUAAUGUUGAAAAAUUAGCGGAUGACCUGUGGCUGGGGGUGAAAGGCCAAUCAAACCGGGAGAUAGCUGGUUCUCCCCGAAAGCUAUUUAGGUAGCGCCUCGUGAAUUCAUCUCCGGGGGUAGAGCACUGUUUCGGCUAGGGGGCCAUCCCGGCUUACCAACCCGAUGCAAACUGCGAAUACCGGAGAAUGUUAUCACGGGAGACACACGGCGGGUGCUAACGUCCGUCGUGAAGAGGGAAACAACCCAGACCGCCAGCUAAGGUCCCAAAGUCAUGGUUAAGUGGGAAACGAUGUGGGAAGGCCCAGACAGCCAGGAUGUUGGCUUAGAAGCAGCCAUCAUUUAAAGAAAGCGUAAUAGCUCACUGGUCGAGUCGGCCUGCGCGGAAGAUGUAACGGGGCUAAACCAUGCACCGAAGCUGCGGCAGCGAACGUAUCACCCAAGACAACUUUACGGAGUUGACGAUUGACGGAGCGAAGCGACGUCAAAGCGUUCAUUAAAGUCGAGUUGGCUUAGGGAUACGUUCGUUGGGUAGGGGAGCGUUCUGUAAGCCUGUGAAGGUGUGUCGUGAGGCAUGCUGGAGGUAUCAGAAGUGCGAAUGCUGACAUAAGUAACGAUAAAGCGGGUGAAAAGCCCGCUCGCCGGAAGACCAAGGGUUCCUGUCCAACGUUAAUCGGGGCAGGGUGAGUCGACCCCUAAGGCGAGGCCGAAAGGCGUAGUCGAUGGGAAACGGGUUAAUAUUCCCGUACUUGGUGUUACUGCGAAGGGGGGACGGAGAAGGCUAUGUUGGCCGGGCGACGGUU